rnacentral:rRNA from 1 species
CGUGAGCGGCGGACGGGUGAGUAACGCGUGGGUAACCUGCCUCAUACAGGGGGAUAACAGUUGGAAACGGCUGCUAAUACCGCAUAAGCGCACAGUACCGCAUGGUACGGUGUGAAAAACUCCGGUGGUAUGAGAUGGACCCGCGUCUGAUUAGGUAGUUGGUGGGGUAACGGCCUACCAAGCCGACGAUCAGUAGCCGACCUGAGAGGGUGACCGGCCACAUUGGGACUGAGACACGGCCAA